AGAUUCUUUCAGCGUGGAGGAGGAGGAAGAAGAAGAGUUUGGGAGCAAUGCUGCUGAGGACUCUGAGGAGGAUUAUGAUAAUUUGGAGGGAGUGUACAGUGUUGCAGAUGACCCCCCUGGCAGCCCGCCUGCAGCGUUCUUGUACACCAUGUCCGUCAAGAAGAAGAAGAAGAGAACACCGGAUCCAGAGUGAACUUGAUUUCACCAUCAGUUUAAUGGAUAACAGUGCAGAUGUUGUUGUUGCAUUGAUGGAUUGUACUUUGUAUUGAACACAUUCAGUCUGACGCAUCUGCUCUCUGUUGUUUCUGCUGUCCAAAGCACAUAUUCUUGGCUUAGUACGAUAUUAUGUGCUUUUCAAGUAAAAGUCCUGCAUAAAGAGGCACAAGUGUCCACUGUGAAUGUGUUCAUACAUAUUUCAUUGUUGUUAAUGACUGAUAGUUAUAAUCAUUGUUGGUUGUCAUUCAUUGACUUUUGCUGUAGAGGACAAAAAAGCCACUUCACAAACCUGUUUCCUCUUUCUUCUUUUUUGCUAUUAUUUGUGAAACAUAGUAGAAUUUUACCUCUCUCGGCAUCAAGUCUUAUUUAAAUAAUCCCAUCUGAGGAGUUUAUGUAGAGUACAUGCUUAUCAUGUGUUGCUUCAACUGCUAUAAUAUUAAUCUGCAUAUUAAAUGUGCACUGUGUAGUUUCUUCUGUGUUUCGUCUCGUCAAAGUUCCCUGAAAAUGUGUAAAUAUGGUGGAGUGAAACGCACAAUAUUUCUCCCUGAAUUUGGAGAAAAUUGACUUAUUUAAGAUUUCCACCAAUCAAACAUGAUCUGUGGAUGAUGACUACAGGCACAGAAUUAAACUACAAAAGCUGUUUUAUCUAACAAGUUAUAUAUGGAAAUAUUAAAUGAUGCCAUUGUUAAAACAGGUAGUUGUGCUAUUUUAUCUGGAUGCUUUUCAGCACUUUUUAGCCAAAACGUCCUGAAAGAGUGAAGUUUACACAUGGAUGAUGACUUGCACUUCAUAUGUGGGCCAUCAUUGUUUAUUUGAUUGUUUUAUAAUGAUUGAACACUGUGCAGCCGCCUGCACUUAUUGUCCCAGUGUACCCUUAUGAAAGUUUAACCAAAGUCUUCUGUGACCUUAUCUGAUAAGAGAAAAGGACUGUAAUGAUUCACUACAUUCUUUACUGCUGCAGCUCCUUUAGGAAAUACAGCAGAGCAGAAUGAAGUUAACGCUUUGAGGGAGAGGGAGCAGCUGUGCAUUGCUGUAAAAUAAAAUUAGAGAAAUAAAAAUAAAAACCUUCACUGGGGCUAAAACUGUUUUUAAAAAGAUUUUCGCUGUCAUCUCCCAAUCUGAACAUGUGAGGUCACCUUACUUGCAAUGAGCAUUUCUAAAAAGCUUGCUCUGGUUUAUUAUAUUAUUAUAAUAUUAUUAUUAGGGUUUAUUUGCUACACAUGAUAAGAAAACUGCACUGCAAAUUCAGCGGGGGCUCUGGUAUGCAACCUAACCAUAAUCCCCUGCUGCACCUCAAGGGAAGGAACUGUA